GUAAUCUUCUCAGCUUCAUUAGGACUACUAAAAGUAAAUGAUCUGUCAGUUCUUUGUAUGUAUCCUAUUAUAGUUCAUAGCUCUCUCUGUGGGGGUGAAAAAGAUCACAUUAUUCUUUGUCACUAAAUGAAAAUAUUUUAGUUAUUUAAUUUAUGCCCUUUUCAUUGAACUGAAUCUAAUAUGCUAAAUUAGGGAAGUACUUUACGUUUCCGUGUCGUUAAAUGAACUGUGGCCACGUUUGUAUUUUAAGUUUGUAUGCUUGUCAUUCACCUCCUGCAACUCAGCCUCACCAAAAAAAAAUAAAAUACUAAAGCAAAAUAAGAUGUGUUUUCUUCCAUCACUUUCCAUCUCAGCCCUUUCCCUGUUCUGGAGACGGUAGAGGAUAAGGCCAGGGUGAAGAUGGUACAGAGCUGUUGUCUGCAGAUACAGUAUUUCGCUUUUAAGCUCAGAAGGGAAGCAGAUGAGUGUGUGUGAUGUUUUAGCUUCAGGCCAGUCUCUGUCCCUCAGCCUCUGUGUCCCCCAGGGUUGGAGCAGUAUUCCCAAAUCCCGGGACCUAGAUUUUCAUGCCGUUGCUACUUACCUCCUGUUUAGAAAGCAUACUGAGUGGGGAGGAGGAAGGACGAAGUGCAUUUUUAAGGUUUACUCGAUUCUUUUCUCUGUAGUGUAUAGUUCAUACUUCUCUUUUAGGUGCUUUAAAAACAAACAAAAACACAAACAAACAAACAAACAAAUAAAUAAAUAAAAAUAAAACGCUCUUCCUUCUGCUAGGUGAUUGUAGAGCAGAUCGUUGAGUCUCAUCCGACGGCCUGAAGAUCAUGUAUGCUAAUAAGCUCCUGGAGUUCGUUCCUCACCACUGCCGCCUUCUUCGAGAGGUCACAGGAGGAGCCAUCUCAAGCCCUCAGCUGUCCCACCUGCCCAGAGCUCUGCAGCCUUCCUGAGUCGCUCGUGGCUUCUCAUCGCCCACAGAGGAGCAUCCAGUCUUCCUGGCGCAACCUGUGACCCUUGGUGCUUGAGUCCUAGUGGUUCUCCGCUGUAGAACUUUCUACUGUGGAACUUUCCCCCAUACCACUAUGGUUCCUGGCCAGACAGGAGCGCUUGACCUUCCCUAACACACCUGGUACAGAAGAUCCCUGACUUCACCUUGGUUCAGUUUAUGGUUUUUUGACUUUUUAUAAUAGUGCAGAAGUGAUAUGCAUUUAGUUUGGAUCUUUUCCCAGGCUGGCGAUCUACAGUAGGGUCCUCUUUUGUAAUGCUGGGCAGGGGCAGCGAGCACAGCCCCCAGGCAAACCACGUGAUCACGAGGGUCAGCAACCAACACACUUGAACCGUCCUGUUCUGGCUUUCAGUGCAGUGUUCAGUAAGUUACAUGAGAUACCAGACACUUUAUUGUGAAAUAGGCUUUGUGUUAGAGGAUUUUGCCCAACUGUGCAAUACUGUAAGUGUUCUCAACACAUUUAAGUUUGGCGGGGCUAAGCUCUGAUGUUCAGUCGCUUAGGUGUUUUCCAUGCAUUUUCAACUAAAGAGAUUUCCAGCUGAACAAUGGGUUUAUUAGAAGCCGAGGCCGUCAUAAGCCGAGGAACAUCUGUCUAUACUGUGCGCCUCUGUGUUUUCCUUCAUUGCUUCCUGUCUCAUAUCCCUUUGUCUUUCUGUUGAUCUGUCACUCCACAUGAAGCUCCAGUCAAAUACAACUUCUUUUUUUUUUUAGGUUAUUUAUUUAUUUACUUAUUAGAGAAAGCAUAAGCAGAGGGGGAGGCAAAGAGUGAAGCAGGCUCCCCACUGAGCAGGGAGCCCGAUGUGGGACUCGAUCCCAGGACCCUGAGAUCAUGACCUGAGCCACCCAAGCGCCCCCAGGCUAUGGUUAUUUCAAGAAAAAGUCCUAUUUGUGAAUUCUUCAUCUAGUGAAGAUGAAUUAAAAUCAGAAAGUCAACUCUGCCACCUUUAAAAACCCAGGAACAGAAAAAAAUUCCACGAGCAGGUAUAACCCUAUCCACAAUAAAUCACUUUCAAUCCAGUCCUGAAAACUAAUACAGAGUAGGAAGAAAGCAUUACAGAAAAAUUUUGUUUUCAUUAAUCAAGCUGGAAAAUAACGGGCCUUACACGAAUGCCCUUUAGGAAGACAGUUCUUAUAGUUUUAUGUUGAUGGAAACUAACAUUACAUUCGAAAUGCAUGUUAAAACCAUGACUGUAGACUAACUACCACUUUCAGUCGUCAGAAGAUGAAAAAUGGUCAAGAGUCACCCAAACUGAAUCCUGGUUCCUCCUGGAAAAUGUGUUCCUAAAUAUUUUCCCCCUGAACUACUGUGCUCUUUCUGUAUCUUACACAGCAGACACUGCGAUGCACAAACACAUCCAGAAGGCCUUUGAGGGCUGACAGCCUGCUGGAACAAUGAGGAAUUCACCCGGGUUUCUGCCUUUCUGCCGGGCCCAGAAAGUUCUGGGUAACCCAGGUGACGUGUCAUGAGAAUACAAGUGUGCCUCACACCGUACGUAUCAUCUCCUCAGGGUAGACACCAAAAUCCAUGUUCGUAUAUGAAAAUCCGAGAUGCGUACAGAAAUCAAGAGUGAUUCUGUCAUCUUGAAAGAAAAACACACUGUUGCGCUGCCACAUGCCUCGUUUCUCCUCGAGUGACUGCAGGAAGUAGCGAUUGCAGUCAGAAAUCUCAGAAAGAAAAAUUAGAGUAAGGG